ACGGAAUAGAUACCCAGGUAGUCCACGCCCUAAACGAUGUCUACUAGUUGUUGGUGGAGUAAAAUCCAUGAGUAAACGCAGCUAAACGCGUGAAGUAGACCGCCUGGGGAGUACGGUCGCAAGAUUAAAACUCAAAUGAAUUGACGGGGGCCCGCACAAGCGGUGGAUUAUGUGGAUUAAUUCGAUGCAACGCGAAAAACCCUUACCUGGCCUUGACAUGUAACGAACUUUCCAGAGAUGGAUUGGUGCUCGAAAGAGAACGUUAACACAGGUGCUGCAUGGCUGUCGUCAGCUCGUGUCGUGAGAUGUUGGGUUAAGUCCCGCAACGAGCGCAACCCUUGCCAUUAAUUGCCAUCAUUUAGUUGGGCACUUUAAUGGGACUGCCGGUGACAAACCGGAGGAAGGUGGGGAUGACGUCAAGUCCUCAUGGCCCUUAUGGCCAGGGCUUCACACGUAAUACAAUGGUCGGUACAGAGGGUUGCCAACCCGCGAGGGGUAGCCAAAUCCCAGAAAAGCCGAUCGUAGUCCGGAUUGUAGUCUGCAACUCGAC
rnacentral:rRNA from 1 species